GGCUCAGUCGGUUAGAGCGACGGAAUCAUAAUCCGCAGGUCCGGGGUUCGAGUCCCUG
rnacentral:tRNA from 1 species